AGGGCGGAGGGAGGCACUCAGCCUUUGAUGAUGUACAAAAGAGUUUGCCGAUUGUUUCAAACAAGCCAACAAUUAUAUUUGGUGCUGAUGUUACCCCUCUUAAACCUGUAGAUGAUUCUGCCCCCUCCAUUGCAUCUGUCGGUGGCUCCGAAGAUUGGCAUGAGGUGUCCAAGUAUAGUGGUAUCCUUCCACAAAUUUACCGUAAAACACUCACUGAUGGCCUAGAAAAUAUUUUCAA